UUAGCUGAUGUGCACCACCUCACCUCACAGU
rnacentral:piRNA from 1 species